rnacentral:lncRNA from 1 species
ACCGCAUCUUUAGGACCCUAGUUUUUUGUGACAGCGUCACCUGUCGGAUUGGAUUAUGGAUGCGCUAAUGGACGACACUGAUGACAAGGAAAGUGCCAUCGUACAUCCUCUGGGUGUCUUGAGGAGCUGGUCUUUGGAUAAUGCUGAGCAGGUCUUUCUUUCUGGUAAAGAUUAUCAUUACAGGAGCUAAAGUCUACAGCCAGUCUGAAUGCAGCAACUGAAUAAACAGUGGGGUCAAUUUUGUGGUUGAAUUGCAUUAAUAAAAAAAAAAGUGUGGAUAUUUAUAUAAA